AGACAAUAGAUACCCCGGGUAGUCCACGCCGUAAACUAUGGAUGCUAGCUGUUAGAGGUAUCGACCCCUCUAGUAGCGAAAGCUAACGCGUUAAGCAUCCCGCCUGUGGAGUACGGUCGCAAGACUAAAACAUAAAGGAAUUGACGGGGGACCCGCACAAGCGGUGGAGCGUGUUGUUUAAUUCGAUGGUAAGCGAAGAACCUUACCCAGGCUUGACAUCCUUGGAAUUUUGGCGAAAGCCGAGAGUGCCUUCGGGAACCAAGUGACAGGUGUUGCAUGGCCGUCGUCAGCUCGUGUCGUGAGAUGUUUGGUUAAGUCCAUCAACGAGCGCAACCCUUAUAGUUAGUUGAAUUUUUCUAGCUAGACUGCCCUGGCAACAGGGAGGAAGGAGGGGAUGAUGUCAGGUCAGUAUUACCCUUACGUCUGGGGCUACAAACACGCUACAAUGGCGGUACAAAGGGCAGCCAAGUCGCGAGACGGAGCAAAUCCCAUCAAAGCCGGUCUAAGUUCGGAUAGCAGGCUGAAACUCGCCUGCUUGAAGCUGGAA
rnacentral:rRNA from 1 species